GAUGAACGCUGGCGGCGUGCCUAAUACAUGCAAGUCGAACGGAGCACCUUGGUGCUAAAGUGGCGAACGGGUGAGGAGAACAUAGGUAACCUGCCCUCCGAGGGGGACAACAGCUGGAAACGGCUGCUAAGACCGCAUAGACGCAUUCAGGGCAUCCUGGAUGCGCUAAAUGACCGUAUGGUCAGCGGGGGGAUGGACCUAUGCAGUAUUAGCUAGUUGGUGAGGUAACGGCUCACCAAGGCGACGAUACAUAGCCGACCUGAGAGGGUGAUCGGCCACACUGGGACUGAGACACGGCCCAGACUCCUACGGGAGGCAGCAGUAGGGAAUCUUCGGCAAUGGGGGC
rnacentral:rRNA from 1 species